GGACUACUGGGGUAUCUAAUCCUGUUUGCUACCCAUGCUUUCGAGCCUCAGCGUCAGUUGGUGCCCAGUAGGUCGCCUUCGCCACUGGUGUUCCUCCCGAUAUCUACGCAUUCCACCGCUACACCGGGAAUUCCACCUACCUCUGCACUACUCAAGGCCAGCAGUUUUGAAAGCAAUUUAUGGGUUGAGCCCAUAGUUUUCACUUCCAACUUGCCGGUCCGCCUGCGCUCCCUUUACACCCAGUAAUUCCGGACAACGCUUGCACCCUACGUUUUACCGCGGCUGCUGGCACGUAGUUAGCCGGUGCUUUCUUGUUAGGUACCGUCAUUAUCGUCCCUAACGACAGGAGUUUACAAUCCGAAAACCUUCUUCCUCCACGCGGCGUCGCUGCAUCAGGGUU
rnacentral:misc_RNA from 1 species